rnacentral:rRNA from 1 species
GUAGCUGCAACUCGACUACAUGAAGCUGGAAUCGCUAGUAAUCGCGGAUCAGAAUGCCGCGGUGAAUACGUUCCCGGGCCUUGUACACACCGCCCGCCACACCAUGAGAGUUGGAAAUACCCGAAGCCUGUGAGCUAACUUUAGAGGCAGCAGUCGAAGGUAGAGCCAAUGAUUGGGGUGAAGUCGUAACAAGGUAGC